UACGGGGGGGGGCAAGCGUUGUUCGGAAUUACUGGGCGUAAAGGGCUCGUAGGCGGCCAACUAAGUCAGACGUGAAAUCCCUCGGCUUAACCGGGGAACUGCGUCUGAUACUGGAUGGCUCGAGUUUGGGAGAGGGAUGCGGAAUUCCAGGUGUAGCGGUGAAAUGCGCAGAUAUCAGGAGGAACACCGGUGGCGAAGGCGGUGGUCUGGGCCAGUACUGACGCUGAGGAGCGAAAGCGUGGGGAGCAAACAGG
rnacentral:rRNA from 1 species